UACGUAGGGUGCAAGCGUUAUCCGGAAUUAUUGGGCGUAAAGAGCUCGUAGGCGGUUUGUCGCGUCUGCCGUGAAAGUCCGGGGCUCAACUCCGGAUCUGCGGUGGGUACGGGCAGACUAGAGUGAUGUAGGGGAGACUGGAAUUCCUGGUGUAGCGGUGAAAUGCGCAGAUAUCGGGAGGAACACCGGUGGCGAAGGCGGUUCUCUGGGCCUGACCUGACGCUGAGGAGCGAAAGCGUGGGGAGCGAACAGG
rnacentral:rRNA from 1 species